rnacentral:rRNA from 1 species
UACGUAGGUGGCAAGCGUUGUCCGGAUUCACUGGGUUUAAAGGGUGCGUAGGCGGGUAAGUAAGUCCGUGGUGAAAUCUCUGAGCUUAACUCAGAAACUGCCGUGGAUACUAUUUGCCUUGAAUAUUGUGGAGGUGAGCGGAAUAUGUCAUGUAGCGGUGAAAUGCUUAGAUAUGACAUAGAACACCAAUUGCGAAGGCAGCUCACUACACAAUCAUUGACGCUGAGGCACGAAAGCGUGGGGAUCAAACAGG